rnacentral:rRNA from 1 species
UACGUAGGGUGCAAGCGUUAAUCGGAAUUACUGGGCGUAAAGCGUGCGCAGGCGGUGAUGCAAGACAGAUGUGAAAUCCCCGGGCUCAACCUGGGAACUGCAUUUGUGACUGCACGGCUAGAGUACGGCAGAGGGGGGUGGAAUUCCACGUGUAGCAGUGAAAUGCGUAGAUAUGUGGAGGAACACCGAUGGCGAAGGCAAUCCCCUGGGCCUGCACUGACGCUCAUGCACGAAAGCGUGGGGAGCAAACAGGAUUAGAAACCCGAGUAGU